UAUUCGUUGUGAUAAUUACGACUGCAGAAAUUUAACUCUGUGUCACAGUGCACCCGAUUUCUUAAACUUUAAUUGCAAAUCAGGAGUGUAUUGGUUGUGUCAGUCGACUUUUAUCAGCUUGACGAACAAUAAAUUAUUAUCACUUGAUCUUAAUAUUCAUACAAUACUAUUUAUAUUUCAAUCUAUUUUAUAGGUCAGUGCUCAAUUUUUGUACUUAAUUGUAAUUAAAAUACUUUCGUACGUUUUGUUUAGACUUUCCCAAUGAAAUAAAACUUUGGUUUCGUUGGAAUUCGUAUGUGAAAAAAGUUUUCGUCAUAGUUAUAACCCGCCACUUAUAACGAGCAUACAACUAUAGUUAAAAUAAUAUUCACUAGAUUUAUCGCUGGAAAUAUAUGAUAGACCAUAGCUUAGCCAUAAGUAGGUAGAGUAGAUGUUAUUAUCAUUGUUAUUAUAUCUACUCUCGCGCAAAGUCGCGAAAACAUAUAUAUAUUUUUUUUAAAUUCGAAGUGGGUGUUGGUAAUAUUAUCGCGCUGCAGUCUGGAUAUCGGAAGUUCUAAUCAAAAUUAAUCGCGCUGAUAAAAUUCUACCGAAGGGAAGAAGUCACACGAAUAAGUGUCACGACUAUCCCUCGGUAGCUCUGUCGUCGUCUUCAUAAAGAAAAAUAGACAAAGUCGUAUCGCGUUACUCGCGUUGUUCGACUGGCCAUCUGGUGAAACUCGACACCUAUAUAAUUAUAUAGCUAGUCGUGUCGAAUUACCGAUAAACGGUGUCGCGCGAUGCAAUUUAUAAUAAAAUUCCCUUAUCAUUAAUCGUUAUAGAUAUUCGUUAUUGUGUACCUGUACGCGAUUUUGUUAGUGUCCUCUUUUUUUUAGUUUUCCUCUUUGAAUCUCCUCUCUCGUUGCACAUAUCUGGGUCACAU